GCCCAUUUAGCUCAGUGGAUAGAGCAUCAGCCUGCUGACUGAAGGGUCCCGGGUUUGAUUCCCGGUCAAGGGCA
rnacentral:tRNA from 1 species